GCUUUCUUGGCUCAGUUGGCAGAGCAUCCGCCUAGUAAGCGGAAGGUCGUGAGUUCAAUUCUCACAGAAAGCA